UACGUAGGGGGCUAGCGUUGUCCGGAAUCAUUGGGCGUAAAGAGCGUGUAGGCGGCCCGGUAAGUCCGCUGUGAAAGUCGGGGGCUCAACCCUCGGAUGCCGGUGGAUACUGUCGGGCUCGAGUACGGAAGAGGCGAGUGGAAUUCCUGGUGUAGCGGUGAAAUGCGCAGAUAUCGGGAAGAACACCCGUGGCGAAGGCGGCUCGCUGGGACGUCACUGACGCUGAGACGCGAAAGCGUGGGGAGCAAACAGG
rnacentral:rRNA from 1 species